GCAGUGGCAGUUCAGUGGUAAAAUUCUGGCCUUCCAUACAGGAGACCUGGGUUCAAUUCCUGGCCAAUGCA
rnacentral:tRNA from 1 species